AAGAAACCAACUGGGAUUGCCUUAGUAACGGCGAGUGAAGCGGCAAAAGCUCAAAUUUGAAAUCUGGUACCUUUGGUGCCCGAGUUGUAAUUUGGAGAGUACCACUUUGGGACUGUACUUUGCCUAUGUUCCUUGGAACAGGACGUCAUGGAGGGUGAGAAUCCCGUGUGGCGAGGGUGUCAGUUCUUUGUAAAGGGUGCUCGAAGAGUCGAGUUGUUUGGGAAUGCAGCUCUAAGUGGGUGGUAAAUUCCAUCUAAAGCUAAAUACAGGCGAGAGACCGAUAGCGAACAAGUACAGUGAUGGAAAGAUGAAAAGAACUUUGAAAAGAGAGUGAAAAAGUACGUGAAAUUGUUGAAAGGGAAGGGCAUUUGAUCAGACAUGGUGUUUUGCGCCCCUUGCCUCUCGUGGGCUUGGGACUCUCGCAGCUCACUGGGCCAGCAUCGGUUUUGGCGGCCGGAAAAAACCUAGGGAAUGUGGCUCUGCGCCUCGGUGUAGAGUGUUAUAGCCCUGGGGAAUACGGCCAGCCGGGACCGAGGACU
rnacentral:rRNA from 1 species